rnacentral:tRNA from 1 species
GAAACUUAGGAUUAAUGUAAACCGAAG